rfam:Erinaceus europaeus unplaced genomic scaffold scaffold00152, whole genome shotgun sequence
GGAUGUGAGGGUGAUCUGGCUGAGACAUCUGUCACUCCAUUGAUCCUCAGGAUUGAUUUGGCUGAUCUGGUUGGCUAGGCAGGUGUCCCAUUCCUCCCUGACUGCUCCAUGUGCGUCCCUCCCGAAGCUGCAUGGUGGAUCUAAGAGGACGACUGUCUUUGAGCAGAAACAGAGCAGUCUUCCGUCAAGGAUAUACCAGUAGCUGUGCUGCCCUGCUAGAACCUCCAGACAAGUUCUCAAGGUCCAAAUCUGUACAACCAGAAAGAGUUAAUGAUACAUUUGUGGGCCCAUUCCCAUUCCUCACCUUCACUGGGGAAAUAA